GUUUCAGGGCGAGGUGGAAAUCCUCACUGGCGGUAAGCACGGCGGCGGACACGAGCCGCCCGCAAGCCCGCGACCCUGCGCGAGAGUGCAGGCUGACCCGGUGAAAUUCCGGGGCCAACGGUCACAGUCCGGAUGGAAGAGG
rnacentral:ncRNA from 1 species